GACGAACCGUGCGAACGUUGUUCGGAAUCACUGGGCUUAAAGGGCGCGUAGGCGGGUUCUCAAGUCUGUGGUGAAAUCCUCCAGCUUAACUGGAGAAGUGCCGUGGAUACUGGGGACCUCGAGGUGGGUAGGGGCAUCUGGAACAGCCGGUGGAGCGGUGAAAUGCGUUGAUAUCGGCUGGAACUCCGAUGGCGAAGGCAAGGUGGCUGGACCCUCUCUGACGCUGAGGCGGCGAAAGCCA
rnacentral:rRNA from 1 species